rnacentral:lncRNA from 1 species
GGGUCGCCAGAGCGGACGACAGCGGCGGCGCUUCGGUGAGGUCGGGGUCGGGUUCGUUGGCAACGAAGAAGAGAGAAGAGAAAGAAUGAGGGGAAGAAGAAGGGGGAAGAGGAAGAAAGAUGGGAAGAGGGAAGAGGAAGAUUGAGAGGGUUCGCCGCCGCCGCCGCCACCACUGUAUCUCCUCCCUCGCCGGCGACGAAGAAGAGAGAAGAGGAAGAGGGAGAGGAAGAAGAAGGGGAAAGAGAAAGAAGGAGAGGGUUUGCCGCCGCCGUAUAUCCUCCCUCGCCAGCGACGAAGAAGAGGAAAGAGGAAGAGGGAGAGGAAGAAGAAGGGGGAAGAGAAAUAGGGAGAGGAAGAGGAAAGAGGAAGAGGAAGAGGGAGAGGGAGAGGGUU